GAAGAUGACGAGGUCGAUAGGUCCGAGGUGGAAGCGUGGCGACACGUGGAGCUGACGGAUACUAAUCGAUCGAGGGCUUGACCUAUAA
rnacentral:rRNA from 1 species